CUCACCCCAGCCCCAGCUUCCAGCCCACCCAGCUCUGCUGCUGCCAGCACCGGCGUGCAUUUAGUUGGCGACGUGCUUCUCUGCAGCCGGCCCGUGCACGCCACCAGACUGGUUGCAAAGCAAUUCUGGCAAAAAAAAAAAAAAUGUGCGCGUGUGUGUGUGUAUGGGGGGUGGCGGAUGGGGGGGCGGGGGUGGACCGCCGCUAAUUUCUUGUGCGUGUGUAGCAAUGCAGCAGCCAGCAGCUGUUUGACGCAUGCAUGCCCCCUCCUCUUCUUCCUCCUCCUCCUCGUCCUCCAAACCAAACAUUCUGUUAGCGUCACAGAAUUUGGCAGGAAUUAAGUACCCUCAAUUUGGCUUCGACUGCGGUCCCCAAGUUCCAGCAGAAUGUGAGAAAACUCUGUCAGCGUGCAUUUGAACCCGAGCGGUGGGCCGGGCUCCACAUGGUGCCUGGGCCUGUAGCCUACAUGUCAUAUGGGAAUGGUUUCCGUCUGCUUUUGGCUAAAUAAAGGCGGCUCUGUGUUGGAGCCUAUUAAAGAUCUGCGAUGAUGGAGCGACUGCAGUUUGCCGGAUGGCGCGCAUACAUCCAUUCGCUGCUCGGUAACCGCAACACACCGAAUGCAUAUGCAGGUAUUGCUCUUAUUGUGAGAAGAAUCGUUAUUCGUAAUGUUGGUGGCUGUAGUCAUAAUAUUAAAAAGGGCGUUUCGCAGCAACAACAACAACAACAAUAAUAAUAAUAAUAAUAAUAAUAAUAAUAAUAAUAUUAUUAUUUUCACCAAUUGACACGACUCUUGGAUUUGAAAUACUCAAAGGGGGCUUCAACACAUUGCGCAGAAAUUGCCCUGGGAUGUUUCCUCGGCACGAGUGGACGUGAAAUGCGGACGGUAAUCGUUAAUCAAUAAUCUUAAUCAAUAGCGAUUAUUUGCCGGAUACUCUCGGGAGCCUGGUUUGGAAUAUUGGUGGGUGUGGGGGGGGGGGGUAUGUUGAUCAGUUCGAAACAAUGACGUGAGGUAUGAUCAUGAUCACAAUAUUACGUUUGACACUUACACACGACUUGCACACCCACGUAAUUAUUUU